rnacentral:lncRNA from 1 species
AUUUUAAUGAUAUAAUAUUGUAUAUGGUCAUUAAGAAAGAAAAAAAAUAGUAUAAGUAGAAUUUUAAUGAAGUCAUUGAAGUUAGCAGUUAAAUUAGAAUUUUACCUCGAGAGCAGGGUAACUUUUACAAUUUUCAAUGCCAUUAUUUUCAAUGCAAGUAUUUAUUUCUAUUAACAUGAUUAUGAUAUUAGUAUUUUUUUAGAAUUUAUAUAACUUAUUUAAGAUAACAUUUAAAAAUUAUUAAAGUGUAUAAUAUUUUUUAAUUUUUUU